UGACCUGCAGCUCUGUCACUUUGCAGCUCUCACUUCUUCCUGCUCAUGAUCUGCUUGGAAAUCCAGUUCAUUCCAUCCUGAGGGGAAGAGAGCUGCAGGUGCUGCUGUCACCAGGUCCUGCUUGUUGGCAAAUACGAGCAGUGGGACCCCCAUCAGAGAUUCCUCCUCAGUGAGCUCCGCCAGCUCCUGCCAAGAGAGAACCCCUUCCCAAGAAUGCUGCUGCUCUCACAGAGCUGUGUUCCUCUCUCAGGUGCUGGUGAGUCUCAAUUUGCCAUGAGGUCUCUACAACCCAAGGGGGAGAUGGGAACCCUUGAAGCUACAUCUGCCCUGAGGAGAACUGGAGCUGCACUCAGCACAGCCCAAGAGAACACUCCUGGCACCCAGAGCACCUUGGGCAAAGGGCAGCUGCUAACAGCCCACACUGUCUGGUGCCCACGCCUGUGUUCCUGGCAGAAUCUGGCGUCAGCAUGGCCUCAGCUGACACUGUCUCACCUUCCAUUCUUUGCUUUGCUUUCCAGCUUUUACAUCUCCCAGUUCACUACCUGAGCAAAUGGCUUUCUUACGUGGCCGUAUCAGAGACAGGCACCCUGUGUCAGAUGUCCCUGGGGCAUCAUCCACAACUAGGGUAGGGUGGGCAGAGCUGCUUGGGACAGGUCUGCUGUGGGGUGGGACAGAUCUGCGUGCUGAGGCCCUGGGCAUGAGCCCUUCCCACACAGCUUAGGGAACAACUCAACCCCCAUGAGGAAAGCCCACAGAAAACAGCCUUGUUCCCCACUUCUGUGCCCAGGACCUGACCACCACCCCUUGCCCAGGCCGUUCAUACCUGCCCUGUCUCCUCAAAGCGCUUCUGGUCUGCACUGUCGAUGACAUAAAUCUGCCAGGGGGACAAAAGGAACAGCAGGCAGCCCCUCCUCACACAUCACACAGCCCUCUGCUUGCUGCAGGGCUCUGCUAGGGCAUGGCCCCUGGCUCACCAGCAGGUCAGUGCUGCUCAGGUACUUCCUCCAGUAAGGUCGGACGGCGCGCUGCCCGCCGAUGUCCCAGAUGUUCAGCUUGAAGCCAUGCGAGUGGACGCUCUUGACGUUGAACCCCUGUGAGGGGAAGCAAACUCUGGCAUCACACCAGGGGAAGAAAGACAGGACCCAUUGCCCUCCCACUGCGCGUGCUUCAGAGCAGCCUGUACCUGGGUGGGAGUGAUGGUGCUGACCUCCUCAGAUGCCAGGCGCUUCAGCAGCGUGGUCUUGCCUGCAUUGUCCAGCCCCAGCAGCACGAUGCGGAGCUCCUGCCCUGGGGAACUGCUCAGGCUCUGGAUGACAGAGAGCAGCCCCCGAGGAUGCAGGGAGCUGGGAGAGUCCUGCAGGGUGCUGGGUUGCUGCAGAGCACCCUCAUUUUGCAGUGGGGAGCUGGGUGCCCUGUCGUCCAUGGGUGCCCUGUGUCUGUGGCCUGAGCAAAGUCUGGGACUUUGUUCCAAGGUGCACAGGUUCAGGGUGGCCCCACCGAAGAUCCGCCCAGUCUGUCCCCUUCCCUGGGAGCCCAGGCAGCUCCUGGCAGGCUGAGGGACAAGCCCUGGUGCUGCGCAGCCAGCUGGGCACUGAUGCCAGUGCAGCUGCUCGGGGCAGGAGGGAUGUAGCCAGAUCCUCCCCCCCACCUCUUGCACAUCACCCACGGUCUGGGAAUGGCUGCAGCUCACAGCACACCCAGGGAGAGGCUGGGGGCUCAUCCCUGGGGCACUGGCAUCUGCGUGACUGGCACACUCUCUGUCCCUGGGGGAGGAAGAGGAUUAUGGCCUCCUGAAUUAGCUACUGUUUCUCCAUUUACUCACAGCAUUAAGUAAUGCCCUCAGUAAAUCCCCCAGCCAGCUGUCACCCAUCCGCUACCUCUUCCUGCUCCUGACCCCAGGGCUAAAAUGGGGGGCACAGAGCAUCCCUCUCCCCAACUCAUGGGGAUGCUAG